GAGGGUAUAGCUCAGUGGUAGAGCACGUGCUUAGCAUGCAUGAGGUCCCAGGUCCAAUCCUCAGUACCGCCA
rnacentral:tRNA from 1 species